CCUACGGGCGGCAUCAGUGAGGAAUAUUGGUCAAUGGACGAGAGUCUGAACCAGCCAAGUAGCGUGAAGGAUGACUGUCCUAUGGGUUGUAAACUUCUUUUAUAAAGGACUAAAACGAGGCACGUGUGCCUUUUUGCAUGUACUUUAUGAAUAAGGAUCGGCUAACUCCGUUCCAGCAGCCGCGGUAAUAAGGGGGCUCCGAGCGUUGUCCGGAUUUAUUGGGUUUAAAGGGAGCGUAGAUGGGUUGUUAAGUCAUUUGUGAAAGUUUUCGGCCCAACCGUAAAAUUGCAAUUGAUACUGGCAGUCUUGAGUACAGUUGAGGUAGGCGGAAUUCGUGGUGUAGCGGUGAAAUGCUUAGAUAUCACGAAGAACCCCGAUUGCGAAGGCAGCUUACUAAACUGUGACUGACACUGAUGCUCGAAAGUGUGGGUAUCAAACAGGAUUAGAUACCCUAGUAGUC
rnacentral:rRNA from 1 species